UCAGAGGCACCUGGGUUGCAAUCGCGGCUUGCCUUCUCCCGCUGCGUGCCUUUGGGCAGGAUUUUGAGACUAGGUUUCCUCGUUUGUAAAGCGGAGGUCGUGUUUACCUCACAGGGCUGCUGAAGGGAAUCUGUAAGAUCGUAGGAAACCGGGAAAACAGUCACAAAAAUGGCAACUGACGUCUCUUUCACGUGAGGAAGGAAGCCUACGGGAAAACAGAAGUUCACAAACGGUUCUUAGAACUGUGGGUGCUGAGGUCAAGUCUUCAAUCCAGGUCUGCUGAUCUGACUCCAGAUCUCAUGUUCUUGCCCCUACACCAUCCAAGCUUCUCUCCACUCCUGAGCGAGGAAAGCCUACGCUCUUCCUGGAGACCCCUGGCCUCGCCCGGUGCUGCCUGGGAGGGACCUCUGCAGUGGUGCCAGUGUUCCACACCCCACAUGAACAGAAUGAUAGCCCUGUAGCAACACUGCCUGGUUUCAAGUCCCAGCCUUCACCUCCUAGUGGUGAGCCUUGAGGAGUAACUUAAUCACUCCACAACUAGACUGUUCCUCCGUGAAAUGGCAAAGAGAGUUGUAAGGGUUAAAUCCGACAGUACAUGUAAAGCAUUCAG